rnacentral:lncRNA from 1 species
AGUGUUAUUGUAAGGACUUCGAUAUGUUUCUGAUAGUAUCUGGUGUAUGAUCUUGGAGAAAGUGAAAGAUUGGCCCUUCUGGUCAUCAGACUGUCAUGCUCCUAACACAAGAUAAACAUUGUUUCCAAUGCAGAGACAAGGACACAUGGACAGUGCUUCUAGAGCUAACCGCAGCAGCAAGAAAUGGCAAUCAGUCCUCUCUGAUCCCUUUUUACCAGUGUUAUCCUCUGCCAGCCUUCACUCCUCAAGCUGGCCUCAGACUGGAUGAGGUAUGGAUGGAAAGGAUAGAAAGAACAAGGAGAGGGUUCCAGAAGCAGCUCUCUCUUUCUCCUAUUGCAUAUGAACAGUGGGAAAUGUAG